rnacentral:rRNA from 1 species
UACGUAGGGGCCUAGCGUUGUCCGGAUUUAUUGGGCGUAAAGAGCUCGUAGGCGGUUUGGUUAGUCAGGUGUGAAAUCUCCACGCUCAACGUGGAGGGGCCACCUGAUACUGCCAUGACUUGAGUCCGGUAGGGGAGUGUGGAAUUCCCGGUGUAGCGGUGAAAUGCGCAGAUAUCGGGAGGAACACCGGUGGCGAAGGCGGAUCUCUGGGCCUGUCCUGACGCUGAGGCGCGAAAGCUAGGGGAGCGAACAGG